GGAGGCUGGAAGAACUGGUGUGAUUUAGUUUAGGCUGCUGGUCUCGCCGUCGCCGACGCCUUAUGUGAACAAAGCAGAGGAUACAACCUAUGAUGAAGAUGCUCGAGCUGGCGGCGAUCGUUGCACCUGAGAUUGUGAAUUUCAGAAGAAAACUUGAGCGUUUGAAGUACUAAAAGAGAUUGUAUGUCUGAGAUUCUGAGAACUCACCAACUAUAACACCCUUGUUGUUCCUGCUCUUCUUCACUGCUGCAUCAUAUAAGAAGUGGCAU